rnacentral:rRNA from 1 species
CGGGAGGCAGCAGUGGGGAAUCUUGGACAAUGGGGGCAACCCUGAUCCAGCCAUGCCGCGUGUGUGAAGAAGGCCUUCGGGUUGUAAAGCACUUUCAGUAGGGAGGAAGGSUUAUCCUUAAUACGGAUGAGUACUUGACGUUACCUACAGAAGAAGCACCGGCUAAUUUCGUGCCAGCAGCCGCGGUAAUACGAAAGGUGCGAGCGUUAAUYGGAAUUACUCGGCGUAAAGCGCGCGUAGGCGGUUUGCUAAGUCAGAUGUGAAAGCCCCGGGCUCAACCUGGGAACUGCAUUUGAAACUGGCAGGSUAGAAUGCAGUAGAGGGAGGUGGAAUUUACGGUGUAGCGGUGAAAUGMGUWGAGAUCGGAAGGAACACCAGUGGCGAAGGCGGCCUCCUGGACUGACAUUGACGCUGAGGUGCGAAAGCGUGCGGAGCRAACAR